rnacentral:rRNA from 1 species
UACGUAGGGGGCGAGCGUUGUCCGGAGUUACUGGGCGUAAAGGGCAUGCAGGCGGUCGGACGCGUUUCGGGUGACAGCGAGUGGCUUAACUACCCGAGUGGUCGAAAGACGGUUUGACUUGAGGACGCGAGAGGGACACGGAAUUCCGGGUGGAGUGGUGAAAUGCGUAGAGAUCCGGAGGAACACCGAAGGCGAAGGCAGUGUCCUGGCGCGUAACUGACGCUGAGGUGCGAAAGCCAGGGGAGCGAAUGGG